ensembl:lncRNA
GAUCAGCUCAGGGCCCCUAUUCCUCAUAGCCCAAUUUGCCACGAGGUACCCCCAGGGAUGGAUGAGCCCCUUACAGCUGGGAGGGAGGUGGAGCCUCUGCACAUGGUGGGGUGGGUGAUAUAAAUGACGGCCGUUACCAGGCUGGGGAUGUCUGCUGUGUGAUUGUCCCAAAGCUUCCUGGGCUGAUGGGAAGCCCUGAGGAGCAUCGGGACCUGCAGAGAACCCUCCUCCUGACUGAGGGAGAAACCAGCUAGAAAUGUUGAGACAGAGAGAAAAGAGAUUCCUCCACAGCACAACCUGAGGAGUAAAAGGAGCGUGGAGCAUUUAGUGUGUGUUUGCCAUCCUGAGCAGAACCCCACCCUGCUUCACUUGUUACUGCAACGGGUAUUCCCAGCUGUCUCUGAAAAGAGCAGAUUUGAUCCUUUGCAAACCUUGUGUGUAUCGGACCACGCGUUGGCGCACGAAGAAACCAAACAGCCACAGGAGCGCCUCUGGUAUUCAGGCAGCCAUUACAAUGCCCUUGGAGCAUCUUUAGCUCUUAGAAAUGAAGCCCAGUGCUGAUGCCAGAAAACAUCCUGGGCUUGAAUGUGCCCUUACUUGUGCAGGGCUGGCAGCAGUCCAGCACACAGCUCUCUGCGCUCCGGUGGUGUCUCCAGGAGUUAACCAGGGGGAAGGCGGAUGGAUGGCAAAGAAUUUGCUCAGGGGUGAUGGCUUGCUGCACUCCUCCCUUGUUGGACGGUGAGCAUCACCACACUGCAGGGCUUUCCUUUGCCAACACAGAACUCAUGAAGGCAGCAGAGGAGCAAGCUAAAACCUCUCUCCUCUGCAGCUUUAGUACAGAUCUCAGUAGCUCCUCCUGCAUGGGACUGAUAGCACAGCCAAGUCAGCAUGGUGUCGUCUUGCAAAUGGAUUCUGACGAUAAUCACAAUUAUUUUUCCUGCUGGGGACAAACUUCUGCAGUGGCAGUAGUUCAUCUAUUGAUGUUGGACCUAAUGGACCCUUGAGCACGGACAGAGCUCGGACGGAGUACAACCCACCAUCCUCAUGGCCAUCUUGAGCCAGCUCUCAGGAGGGGAAUCUUUUAUAGUUAAAUGUAUAUGGCCAUGCAGUGUUAGUUAAAGCUUCCUUUCAGAUGCAGAUAUACAGCAGCUUUGGUCUGGUGACUUCCUCCCCUGCAGUACUGCACAGCUGUAAGGAAGCUGUGAUGGCUCUGAGGAAGGAGUUCGGGUUCUGCAGCUGAUGUUCCCAUCUCCAGCGUAUGGAGGGGCUUAGUGCUGCUGUAGGAGCUGCUGCUGUGCACCGAGCAUUCAGCUGCCCUCAUCGGAUCAGCAAAUACACAGCAGGAAAGCCCCUUCUCUAAAGAGCUUCAGCCCUUGGUGCUAAUGAGAAGACAAAGGUGCCUGCUGCUCUCCUGCACCACGUUCUGCUCACAGUAACAAGCAGCUUGUUUCCCUCUGUGGCCUGGGAGUGGAUGGGAUUUUGCCUUUCAUACCUUUUUGGCUGGAGGGUGCAGGUCUGGGGCUGAAGGUGAAGGAUUCACCCAUUCUGGGAACAGACAAAGAUUUGCGACAUCCUCCCCUUCCUGUAAAUCUUAACACAUCACUGUUUUUCUAAAACCAAAAUGAAUAUUUCAUCUAUGGAAGCUGUCAGCCGGGUGCCUGCAUGUCGAGCAACCAGAGCGACCUUGCAGUUCCCUGCAGGAAUGCUGCAGGAGGUGAGGCCAAGGAGCCAUCCUCCCAACACGUAGCCUCCACUUGGAGGACUAAAAAGGACUUGAGCUACACCUCAGACUUCUUUCUCUGUCUUACAACUUCCCAGUUUCUCUUCAGGAAGAAGCAUAGAAAUGGUUUGCCACGUUCCUGAUGAUUGCAGAAAGGGAGCAAAAUAUACAGUGAUGGUUGAAAUGGUUUAUCAUCUAGAGUGCUCCAAAGGAUAAACAACACAGAGAAUGAGAGAACUGCUGGAACUCAACCUUUUGACAGCACGUGAAAUCCCAAUAACAAUCUUGGAAAUGUGCUGAUUGAGGGAUUAGCAUGAAAGGCAUCCAGCUGGGGUGCUCUGCUCUGCUCUGGGUGGCAGCACCGGGAACCUCGAGGAAGGUCAGUAGAUCUCUCCAACUCUCGGUCCUUCCUGCUGGAAACAGCAUAAGAAGCUCCUUGUGGAGGACCAGAUGCUGUAUCUGUGCAUAUUGUGCCAGAGUAAACAGAAUAAGAAAACCCUUUUCAUUUGUUUGAGCAGCUGCCAAUCUCCAGUGCAUUUUCCACUUCAGCAUUUGCAAAGACAAACUGGCCGUGUAACUGUAUUUCUAAUGAUAGUGUGUAAUUUAAAUACCUAUUUCUAUUGCUAUUGAAACGUUACGAGCAACCUCUAAAAGUGCGAUCAGAAGGGUUACAAGUGCAGUGACAUAGAAGAAGCCCGUUGUGCCAGCCAGGCACAUUUCUCCUGGCUGCAUUACAUCUGAGAGCGGGCAGAAAAGCAACAUCGUGAAAUAAGACCUGGAGGAUCUGGCGUGGUUUCUGUUUUAAGCACUUGAAAUUCUUCAGUCGGGGAAAAAAAAAAAGCACACCAAAAACACCCUGGAGGAUGAUCAAAGGUGAAUGAGAAGCUUGGCCACGGAGCAGACCCCAGUGGAGAUAGCAGUUCUUUAAGGCUUUCAAGCAGCUGACAAGAAACCAUCAAGUUCUGAGAGCUCCACUCCUAUGAAAGUCAACAGUCCUUCAAGAAAGAGGACCCAACUUGCUGGAGUGGCUUAUCUGGACCGGAGCCUACUCCUACCCAAGACCUGAAAGACCUCAGGGAAGAUGUCAGUGGAGGCAGCCAGAAGACUGGGGAGCCUCAGUGGUCUCAAAAGCAAGCCACAAGAAAACACUGUCACCUGAUGUGGGUCAUGGUUGGGCAGUAAUACCGAUGGCCAAAGUGUGGGGGUCACCGUGGGGAGGACUAGUGCUGGAGGAAGAGGUUGAGUCACGUUCUCUGGGGUUAAUUAUAUGGUGGAUGCUGAUGAACUAGGCAAAGAGCUUAAAAUCUAUAAGGAAUUUGUAAUGGGAAUUUAUCUUCAUACCUAUACUGCUAUUGAUCAAAAUGGUAGUCAGCAGAUGUUCAGACCCCAUUGAUCAGCUUGGAUAUAUUAUCGGUGGCUGUAUUCUAAAUAGAGUUCAGUGCACUAAGGGAAUUUUUUCCUUGUCUUUAUUUCUAUUUUCCUGUCACCAUGACAAUGUAUAUGUAAACAUUUCUUAUUUAAAAAUAUCAAAUAUGAGAGCAGAUUUGAAGUAUUUUGGAAUUUAAGUGCUGGGAUCAGAAUAACAUGUGUGGUGAUUUGACAUGAGCUGAAAAUAUACCCAAAGGCUCCUUUCCAGCAUGCUGACAAAACAUAUAAAUUAGCCUGGCAAGGGUCUGGCUCUCACCGGAGCACAGUGCAGAGUCCUGAUCCAGAGGAGCAGCCACUGCCCCAGAUAUGCAGUGAAUCAUCAUUUUUCUAGCAGAG